rnacentral:rRNA from 1 species
CAUGGCAGCCAUAUCACCCUGUAGCCCAAGACUGGUUGGUUACCUACUGAAGCUAAGCAGGGCUGAGCCUCGUCAGUACCUGGAUGGGAGACCUCCUGGGAAAACUAGGUUGCUGCUGGAA